UCUUCCUACCUCCUGUAGGAAUCCGUCUCGCAGCUCUGCUCUGAUGGCUGUGGAUAAACAUCCAAGUUUCAUCUCAGUGUCAUCUGAACCCCCAUCUCCAGUCUGGAAUUCCCACCUCAGUGCCUGCUGGAACUGUUGUUCUGCAUCUCUAUUUCUCUCUGAGUGUAGAUACAUGUGCUCCACCCCAUGGGUCAGCCUGGCUUUGGCAUCUGGCCUCUACAGACAGAGGACACACACAGUGCUAGGCACCAUCUCUGAGGCUGCCAUUCCCAUGAUCUCACUUUACAGUGAAUCUGCUUCCUCCUGUGGUAAGUGGCAGUAUUAGGAGGCAUGUCCUUGUUGGAGGAGGUGCCUCACUGUGGGGGUGGGCUUUGAGGUCCCAUGCUCAAACUCCUCCCAAUGUGGAGGUGUCCCAUCCUGACCGCCUUCAGAAGACAGUCUCCUGUCUGACUUCGGGUUGAGAUGUAGAAUUCUCCUCCAGCACCAUGUUCUGCCUACAGGCUGCCAUACUUCCUACCACGAUAAUAAUGGACUGAACCUCUGAAAUUGUAAGCUAGCCCCAACUAGUUGUUUCCUUUUGUAAGAAUUGCCUUGGUCAUGGUGUCUCUUUCCAGAAAUAAAACUGUAAGACAUACAGUCCCCCAAGCCAUGCUUUUAAACUGAGCCUUCUGCAUUUAUACUAUUUGUGUUCUUCCUGCCUCCCCACUGGUGUAACCAGGAUCAAGGCAGCUCCCUAUUGGGCAACUUGCAUGAUAAUCUUCUGAUGCAAUAUCUCCUUGGUCAAAGAAGACUUUAAUCGGUGAGGAAGAAUUCCUAACCUAGGCUCUUGGAGUGUUUGAGAGUGGAAAACUUGAGCUGAGCACCAGCAAGCAAGAUCUAAGGACAUUAUACAACUGGACUUUCAUAAGCAUUCAGUAGGUGUGUGCCUAUGGGGACCACUGUGCACACAGUGGGUCUGCACUCCAUUGUGCAGGACUGAAGGGUUCCUCAGGAGCACUGAAGAACUCGUGAGCAGCCAUUACCUCUCCGUUCCUAGGAAAGCAAUGGAGCCCCACCUCCCAGCCCCACCCAUUACAACUAAGUACGGAGGUGACUGGGGAGAUGGCCUCCGUAAAUAAAGUGCUUGCCGUGCAAAUGUAAAGACCUGAGCUCAAGUCCCAGAAUCUAUGCCGCCAUCACUGCCACCGCCGCCACUGCCGCCAUCACCACCACUCCAACCAACCAACCAACCAACAAACAAA